UUGUUCUGGGUACCGAAGUCGGGGACUGCCAGCCAGCCCGCUGCCUUCAUGAGUAGUACCAGUUGAAGGCAUAAGAUCGUGCAACUAAAGGGCAGAUUUCAGUGACUUGAGUCUGAACAAGAAGGCAGAAAUGACCAGAAAUCUGGGAGCCUGAACAAAGAGGGGAGAGCCAAAACUUUAAGCACCAAGGUGUGGAGGGUCCCUGCUCAUUCCUGCACUCCAGGUUCUUCUAGAUGACCUGUCAAUGCAGUGAUCCAGCCUGAUAUUCUGAGAUGGUAAGAUAAUUAAAGUCUCUGUGAACUAAAUUGCAGCAAAGAGCCAGAGCUGAAAAAUAAAACUGCACUGCUGUCCCUACUAGGUACA
rnacentral:lncRNA from 1 species